rnacentral:rRNA from 1 species
ACGGGUGAGUAACACGUGGGCAAUCUGCCCUGCACUCUGGGACAAGCCCUGGAAACGGGGUCUAAUACCGGAUACUGAUCCUCGCAGGCAUCUGCGAGGUUCGAAAGCUCCGGCGGUGCAGGAUGAGCCCGCGGCCUAUCAGCUAGUUGGUGAGGUAACGGCUCACCAAGGCGACGACGGGUAGCCGGCCUGAGAGGGCGACCGGCCACACUGGGACUGAGACACGGCCCAGACUCCUACGGGAGGCAGCAGUGGGGAAUAUUGCACAAUGGGCGAAAGCCUGAUGCAGCGACGCCGCGUGAGGGAUGACGGCCUUCGGGUUGUAAACCUCUUUCAGCAGGGAAGAAGCGAAAGUGACGGUACCUGCAGAAGAAGCGCCGGCUAACUACGUGCCAGCAGCCGCGGUAAUACGUAGGGCGCAAGCGUUGUCCGGAAUUAUUGGGCGUAAAGAGCUCGUAGGCGGCUUGUCACGUCGGUUGUGAAAGCCCGGGGCUUAACCCCGGGUCUGCAGUCGAUACGGGCAGGCUAGAGUUCGGUAGGGGAGAUCGGAAUUCCUGGUGUAGCGGUGAAAUGCGCAGAUAUCAGGAGGAACACCGGUGGCGAAGGCGGAUCUCUGGGCCGAUACUGACGCUGAGGAGCGAAAGCGUGGGGAGCGAACAGGAUUAGAUACCCUGGUAGUCCACGCCGUAAACGGUGGGCACUAGGUGUGGGCAACAUUCCACGUUGUCCGUGCCGCAGCUAACGCAUUAAGUGCCCCGCCCGGGGGAGUACGGCCGCAAGGCUAAAACUCAAAGGAAUUUGACGGGGGGCCCGCACAAGCGGCGGAAGCAGGUGGCUUAAUUCGACGCAACGCGAAGAACCUUACCAAGGCUUGACAUACACCGGAAAACCCUGGAAAACAGGGUCCCCCUUGUGGUCGGUGUACAGGUGGUGCAUGGCUGUCGUCAGCUCGUGUCGUGAGAUGUUGGGUUAAGUCCCGCAACGAGCGCAACCCUUGUCCCGUGUUGCCAGCAGGCCCUUGUGGUGCUGGGGACUCACGGGAGACCGCCGGGGUCAACUCGGAGGAAGGUGGGGACGACGUCAAGUCAUCAUGCCCCUUAUGUCUUGGGCUGCACACGUGCUACAAUGGCCGGUACAAUGAGCUGCGAUACCGCGAGGUGGAGCGAAUCUCAAAAAGCCGGUCUCAGUUCGGAUUGGGGUCUGCAACUCGACCCCAUGAAGUCGGAGUCGCUAGUAAUCGCAGAUCAGCAUUGCUGCGGUGAAUACGUUCCCGGGCCUUGUACACACCGCCCGUCACGUCACGAAAGUCGGUAA